GUCCUACAGAAAAUAAGGGAUAUCACAGGGACGGAAGGAAACCUCAACGCAGAGGCACUCCUCCUACACUCAACACCGGAUCCCAUAGGCACAUACAGGAAAAACAUCCGUAGACACCUAAUCAACGCAGCCAAGGCACUAAUUCCAUUAUACUGGAAACAAACGAAUACCCCGACGAUAAGACAAUGGAUGGAACGGGUGGAAGAAAUAUAUAGAGCGGAAUCAAUACAGGCUACACUUCGAGGACUAGAGGACAAGCAUGUGGAGAGGUGGCGCCCGUGGCUACUCUACAUAGCGGACCGACACACAGAUAGGA